CCAAGAAGUCUAACAUGUGCGCGAGUCGUAGGGUCGCUACAACUUGCAUUAAACCUGAAGGCGUUUCAAAGUCAGUGUGUCUGACUGAGGCGAGAUCUGUCCGGGUAUUCCUGUAGCUCUCGAGUGGGGCUGKGGGGGCCCGGCGGCGCACCGCCGGCCCGUCUUGAUGGCUUCUUGUCGGCAAGGCGGAGCAAGAGCGCACACGUUGGGACCCGAAAGAUGGUGAACUAUGCUGGGGCAAGACAAAGCCAGAGGUAACUCUGGUGAAGGUCUGUAGCCAUUCUGACGUGCAAAUCGACCGUCAGACCCAAGUAUAGGUGCGAAAGACUAAGCGAACCGUCUA
rnacentral:rRNA from 1 species